UACGGAGGAGGCAAGCGUUAUCCGGAAUUAUUGGGCGUAAAGCGUCCGUAGGUGGCUCUUCAAGUCUGCUGUCAAAGAGUGGGGCUUAACCCUGCAAAGGCAGUGGAAACUGAAAGGCUAGAGAGCCGUAGGGGUAGAGGGAAUUCCCGGUGUAGCGGUGAAAUGCGUAGAGAUCGGGAAGAACAUCGGUGGCGAAAGCGCUCUACUGGACGGUAUCUGACACUCAGGGACGAAAGCUAGGGGAGCGAAUGGG
rnacentral:rRNA from 1 species